UGAGGGGUCGCAGAUGGAGCCGGGAGCUCAAUUUCCGCCUGGUUUGGAUCCUGGAGCUCAGUUUACCACUAAGCCUUACACUAUAUUAAAGGGUUUGGCCAACGCUAGCAUGCUACGAUUGUAAAAGGCAAGCCUCAGUAUGUCCCCCGUUUCUUUCUGAGAAAUAUCGAAAUAGUUGUUACUUCAGAUUUAAGUGACAGGCCCAAUUCUUGAAGAGAACCAGCCUACCGACUCCGCUGGACACGCCUUCCCGACGAUCUGAUUUGCCCGCCUGCAGUGGGCGCCCUGGGUUAGCUAAUGACUGAAAGAAUGGUACCAGUCCAGACAGCAGAGCACAGAGGUGUGCUCUCAGGGCUUGUUAUCACUGGCUUCAAGGCUACCCUGGGGUUGCUGGGAGCCAUAGCAGCCUGCAACCCAAUCAUUACAGUCUGGGAGGACGGUGUGCCAAACGGCGAUAGUUUGAGUAAAUGAUCAUUGAGGGAAAGAGGCUAGUGGGAAGUAGCAAGCGUUUUCAGUCUCUCAAAGGUAGACAGGAGACUCAUGACAUCAUCUUUCUAAACGAAGCCAGCCCAUUUGCCUCGAUCUUUUUCUGGUCACUUCUUGAGCGUGGAGGUGGGGAAUCUAUAAUCAUUUUGUAUUUCCCUGCUCUCAGCGUAUUAUCUGGUCAUGUAUAAUAAAUGAGCCUCAGGAGAAUGAGAAAAAUGAAUGCAUCGGGUUUUGCAGCAGUUAAAUGCAUCUAUUUAGCUCAAACCUGCAUUCAGAACUCAUAGCACUUCCCAUCUGUGUGAACUUGGUGUUAUACAGCUUCUCAUUUCCUCAUUCCCCGCAUUUGUUAAAUAUGGAAACAGCUCCUCAGAGGAUUUCUGUGAAAAUUGAAUGAAGGAAACUGUCUAACAAAGGACCACAGGGCACGUAGAACUUCACAUGCAUUUAAUCCUCUCUAUAAACCCCGAAAGAAUAACGCACUCAAGUGCACACAGCUGUUGGGGGGCAGAGCCUGGUUUUAAGGUAGGUUCUUACUGAUGAACAGAUGCUCGCCACCUGAGCUUAAUUACUGGUGUUCCUGGAAAGGCUUGGCGAUCACUGGCGAUCACUGGAUCAACUACUGGCCCCAUCCCAGAGUUCCUGAGCUGGGCUUCCAGGCUAGCUCAUCAAACCGGAUCUUGGUGACAAUGUUCUUGGAAAGCAAGGAACUGGAAGCAGUGUGUCAUGAGGAGGAAGCCUGGGAUGACAGCUGAGCCCAUGUGGUCCUCGCCUCCCCCCAUUCAGGGUUUUGGAUUCUUCCCAGUAUCUGCACCAGCUCCCCAGGGCUGUACCUACCUUGCAAUGCACUACAACAAUCAAUACGCUGCAACAGCAACGGUAAGUACAGCCUUAAUCCCUGCGGAGUGAGCCGAAGCCAGGGCUCAUUAUUCACUUCCGGUAUCUCGGUGCUUAGCUUUCAGAAUCCCAUUCUGUAACUCUCCCAGGUCUAGUAAUCUGUCUGCUUCAUCACCGGCAAUGGAAGUUGCCAUAGCAGAGUCUUGCUUUCCACUUUUCUUUACCGCAGAGCGUGUCUUUCCUGGCUCUUCCUGUGAGAUCAUUUAACUAUGAUUCUUAAUGAUCAUUCAGGAAUCCUCUUGACAACUGUCAUAUUUCACCAGAUAUUCUCCUACAAAAGAGUGAUACAUACCAUUUCCUCCAGCUGCUUGCCUUUCUCUUCUGAGGAUCUGUUGUGUAGAACUAUCUUCCAAGCCACACUGCCACCAUCUUCAGGAGUGCUACUGAACCAAAUUUCAAAAGAUAAUCACAGCUGGACCUGUGGGCUAUUUUCAUCCCUCAUAGGAGGGAGGAAGCAGAGGCCAGUGAAUCCUCCCUGAGUAUUCAGGCAUCCCUCCCAGCCAGUUGUAUAUAAUUUUUCCCUAGUUACGUGUGGUCUUGGGGGAGGAGAUAGAGGAUGUAGGUGGGGAAGGAUGAGGGGACAGGGUUCCAUCUAUGAAGCCCUAGGGACGCCACCAGCCUUGCUGUGUGGCUAUUUUAAGGUCAUCUGUGCUCCUGCCUAUAAUCACUUACCCGUUACUCUGUAAUAAGCCUGCCCAAUAAACUCACUGGUACCCAGGAUGAACUCUGGUACAGUCAGACAUACUUGCUGUUAAAAAUCUAUGAUAUCAACCACUGUGUCACUAAACGGUUAUUAUGUGUGUUUUAUUUAUAUCAAUAAUAUGUUCUAACAUGAUAUAAUAGAGAUUAUAAACUACAUAAGAUACCUGGAAUCCUAACACUUGGGCUGUAGAGGCAGGAUGACCAGUUCAAGGUCAUCUUUCGCUGUGUAGAGAGCUCAAAGUCAGCUUGGACUACAUAAAACCUUAAAAUAAAACAAAGCAAGCUUCAGUCUCAUGUGUGAAGAUGACUACACUGUUGACAUUGGCGUUACUUUUCCUGUCCACAGCAUGUGUUCUUCAAGCAUGCUUUAUGGUCCUAGGGGCUGGGUUUGCUCUGAAGUGCAGAAACUCAGAACUUCUCUUGUUGAACCUCACAAAGCCAAGCUUUAGUUUCCCAAGUAGUGGGGCUUCCCUAGGCCUGACUGCCUUUGUCGGCGAUAUUGAUUUUAAUUGAAAGUCUUGUACUUUGUACCUCCAUAAGCAAAGGUGGUUUGCUCCUGGCUUACAAAAUGUGCUUCAGCUCUGAACCUCAACUAUCACCCGUGAGUCUACGGAAGGCCAGGAGAUGGGUGUGCAUAGGCGUGCUCAGAAUGCAGAGGGCACGGCAGAAGAGGCUGUCUCCUG